rnacentral:lncRNA from 1 species
AGUACUCCGGGCACGCGGGGGACGCGGACGGGGGCAGGCGCGGCACUUAAAGGGGCCCGAGGGGCGAGGGCGGCCGCCGGGGCGCAGCUCCGCGAGUGGCGUGGGGUUCCCACGGAGCCUGGGUUCUUUCGCACAGCGAGCAUGCAGCUAGGCCGAUCUUUGUUCUUUAGAGACAAAGCCCCUGAACUUGGGUCCUCGCUUUGUUCAGCUGUCAAGAGGAGCAGGGAAUAAGACAAUAUCCUGAAUGCUUGGAGAUGACAGAACAACACUAAAAUGGGAAAGGGGAAGUUGUAAAGGGCUGACUUACUUAGUCCGGUCCAUUCUGAGUCCUGGUGACAGUUCUCAAUUAGUGGAUAUUAUGUAAGUUGUUUUAGUUCUGCUUCUGCAAUUAGACUGUCAUUGAUACCGUUUGUAGCCUAUGUAAUACCUGUUACCCUUAUUCCUAACAGGAGGCAAGAGAGAAAGGAGCUGGAGGAAAAGGAGUAAUUCUGGAAAAAGUUUCCUCACUCUUAAUAGAAAGAGAGAGAGAGAGAGAUAGGUGGGUUUUUUUCUUCCUUUGGAUGUUAUAUGUCUAGGUCUAAUGCCAUCUUGCUACAAGCCUAAAGAUGAAACCAGGACUGGAGAUGGCAAAGAGACAUAGAAGCG